UACGUAGGUGGCAAGCGUUGUCCGGAAUUAUUGGGCGUAAAGCGCGCGCAGGCGGUCCUUUAAGUCUGAUGUGAAAGCCCACGGCUCAACCGUGGAGGGUCAUUGGAAACUGGGGGACUUGAGUACAGAAGAGAAGAGUGGAAUUCCACGUGUAGCGGUGAAAUGCGUAGAGAUGUGGAGGAACACCAGUGGCGAAGGCGGCUUUUUGGUCUGUAACUGACGCUGAGGCGCGAAAGCGUGGGGAGCAAACAGG
rnacentral:rRNA from 1 species